GGGAUGGUGGGUCCACCCCUUUGUGGGUGCAUCUGUUCAAUUAGGAUUGCUCAUUUCAAAUCGAGAAUCGCUGAAAUGAUGUACAUUCAAGAAACUGGCAUCACACUCCACUUAAGAGGCUUAACAGAUCAAAAGGAAGCCAGGGUCUCCCGGGGCUGAGCCAGCACUGCUCUGCCAUAGGAGGCUGGGAUUUGGUCCUGUUCCUGCCUCAGAGCAGCUGUGUGGCCUGGACAAGUCACCACUCCUCUGGAGCCCUCUGACCAGUGCAGGAUGCAUCAGGCUGGCGGCAGGAGGUGAGGAGAGGGCUCGCUCUGCAGGAACCCACUCGCAUAUCCAUCCGGGCAUCAACAGGAGGAGGGAGGAGGUGGAGAAUUCUGUGAGGCGAGAGCCUGGAUGCGAUGGUCUCAGGCUUCUUCCGGUUCUAGGACUCAAGAAUUCAAGGGCAUAAAACCGCCUGCCACUCUGCCCUGUGCUUCCCCAGCAGGGUUACUCUGCCAUAGGCAAUCAUGGCAUGUGUAAAAUAACAUGACAAAAUAAACCUGUAGAAAAAGA